UACAGAGGUCUCAAGCGUUGUUCGGAAUUACUGGGCGUAAAGGGCUCGUAGGUGGCCAACUAAGUCAGACGUGAAAUCCCUCGGCUUAACCGGGGAACUGCGUCUGAUACUGGAUGGCUUGAGUUCGGGAGAGGGAUGCGGAAUUCCAGGUGUAGCGGUGAAAUGCGUAGAUAUCUGGAGGAACACCGGUGGCGAAGGCGGCAUCCUGGACCGACACUGACGCUGAGGAGCGAAAAGCCAGGGGGAGCAAACGGG
rnacentral:rRNA from 1 species